GACGAACGCUGGCGGCGCGCUUAACACAUGCAAGUCGAACGAUGAAGCUAGAGCUUGCUCUGGUGGAUUAGUGGCGAACGGGUGAGUAGCACGUGAGUAACCUGCCCCGAACUCUGGGAUAACUGCUGGAAACGGUAGCUAAUACCGGAUAUGACCAAUGAAGGCAUCUUCUGUUGGUGGAAAGAAUUUCGGUUCGGGAUGGACUCGCGGCCUAUCAGCUUGUUGGUGAGGUAACGGCUCACCAAGGCGACGACGGGUAGCCGGCCUGAGAGGGUGAUCGGCCACACUGGGACUGAGACACGGCCCAGACUCCUACGGGAGGCAGCAGUGGGGAAUAUUGCACAAUGGGCGCAAGCCUGAUGCAGCAACGCCGCGUGAGGGACGACGGCCUUCGGGUUGUAAACCUCUUUUAGUAGGGAAGAAGCGAAAGUGACGGUACCUGCAGAAAAAGCACCGGCUAACUACGUGCCAGCAGCCGCGGUAA
rnacentral:rRNA from 1 species